rnacentral:lncRNA from 1 species
GAGUUAGUAAAAAUUCAAUAGAUACACAAAAAGAUGAAAUAUCAAAAUUAGAAUCACAAAUAGAUAGUUUAGAAUAUAUAUAUCAACAUGAACUAUUCACAAUAAAAUGAACAAAGAAGAAUUUAUAAUAGAUGAAAAAAUAUAUGAAAACUACGAAGGAUCAAAAAUAAAAAUAGUAUUUUCUAAUCUAGGACGAAGAUAUAAGAAAAUAGGUGAA